rnacentral:rRNA from 1 species
GCACAAGCGGUGGAUGAUGUGGAUUAAUUCGAUGCAACGCGAAAACCUUACCUACCCUUGGCAUGUCCGGAAUCCUGGAGAGAUCUGGGAGUGCUCGCAAGAGAACCGGAACACAGGUGCUGCAUGGCUGUCGUCAGCUCGUGUCGUGAGAUGUUGGGUUAAGUCCCGCAACGAGCGCAACCCUUGUCAUUAGUUGCCACCAUUCAGUUGGGCACUCUAAUGAGACUGCCGGUGACAAACCGGAGGAAGGUGGGGAUGACGUCAAGUCCUCAUGGCCCUUAUGGGUAGGGCUUCACACGUCAUACAAUGGUCGGUACAGAGGGUCGCCAACCCGCGAGGGGGAGCCAAUCCCACAAAGCCGAUCGUAGUCCGGAUUGGAGUCAGCAACUCGACUCCAUGAAGUCGGAAUCGCUAGUAAUCGUGGAUCAGCAUGUCACGGUGAAUACGUUCCCGGGUCUUGUACACACCG